rfam:Parcubacteria bacterium GW2011_GWC2_42_12 TT95_C0020, whole genome shotgun sequence.
GCGCCGUUAACUCAGUUGGUAGAGUACCUGCCUCUUAAGCAGAGAGUCGCUGGUUCGAAUCCAGCACGGCGCA